rnacentral:rRNA from 1 species
AACGAACGCUGGCGGCAGGCCUAACACAUGCAAGUCGAGCGAAGCCUUCGGGCUUAGCGGCGGACGGGUGAGUAACGCGUGGGAACGUGCCCUUUGGUACGGAAUAGCCCCGGGAAACUGGGAGUAAUACCGUAUGUGGUCGAGAGACGAAAGAUUUAUCGCCAAAGGAUCGGCCCGCGUUGGAUUAGGUAGUUGGUGGGGUAAUGGCCUACCAAGCCGACGAUCCAUAGCUGGUUUGAGAGGAUGAUCAGCCACACUGGGACUGAGACACGGCCCGGACGCCUACGGGAGGCAGCAGUGGGGAAUCUUAGACAAUGGGGGAAACCCUGAUCUAGCCAUGCCGCGUGAUCGAUGAAGGCCUUAGGGUUGUAAAGAUCUUUCAGUGGGGAAGAUAAUGACUGUACCCACAGAAGAAGCCCCGGCUAACUCCGUGCCAGCCGCCGCAGUAACAC